GGUUAAGGCUUAAUCUUGGAUUAGUGAAGGUAUGAUUGAAGCUGAAAUAAUUGAAGGCUAGUUUCCUUUUCAAAGCAUUCUUCUCCUUCAAAGCAAUCCAACCUUUCCCUUGGAGGUUUCAGCGAUCGAAGAAGGCAACAGCUCGGUUCUUCUUUUUGGAAGUUCGGUGAUUGAAGACACCUCCCCUCCAACGGCUCACUGGAAAGCUUGGAGAUCUUGUAAUGAGCCUUAAUUCGCGGCAUUUGGUGAACCCAACUCCGUAGCCUAGAACCAGUAGCUCUAUUGGACAUCCAUGUCAGCUCCGAUUGCGAUCGAAAAUCCGGCUUCGGUUGUUGAUAUUCUAUCUAUUCUGGCUUUAUAGUCGAAGAUCCAGCCUCGAGUUGUUAAUUCUAUUUAUUAGUCAGGGAGAUGUACACUUAUGGUGUUUUAUCAUAUUUUCUCUAUUUUAAUUAAUUUAUGUAUUUCUGUCUAUUAUUUUACAUAUGUAGUUAUUUUCUGUUCUCUGUUUGACUUUUUAUUUCUAUAUAUAUAAAUUUCUUGUUAUAUA